UACGUAGGGUGCGAGCGUUAAUCGGAAUUACUGGGCGUAAAGCGUGCGCAGGCGGUUCGUUAAGUUCGUUGUGAAAGCCCCCGGGCUCAACCUGGGAACUGCAAUGGAAACUGUCGGGCUAGAGUCCGGAAGAGGCGAGUGGAAUUCCCGGUGUAGCGGUGAAAUGCGUAGAUAUCGUAAGGAAGACCAGUGGCGAAGGCGAAUCUCUGGACAGUUACUGACACUGAGGCACGAAGGCCAGGGGAGCAAACGGG
rnacentral:rRNA from 1 species